GUAGUCUCGCACAGAUGCAUAUCAAUAAGCGGAGGAAAAGAAACUAACAAGGAUUCCCCUAGUAACGGCGAGUGAAGCGGGAAGAGCUCAAAUUUGAAAUCUUAAAGGGUUUCCCCUUACGAAUUGUAGUUUAAAGAAGUGUUUUCUGUUGAGGUUUUGGUAAAAGUUCUUUGGAAUAGGACAUCAUAGAGGGUGAGAAUCCCGUAUUUGACCAUUUACUUUCAGCUGUGUGAUACACUUUCAAAGAGUCGGAUUGUUUGGGAAUGCAGUCCAAAAUGGGUGGUAAAUUUCAUCUAAAGCUAAAUAUUGGCGAGAGACCGAUAGCGAACAAGUACCGUGAGGGAAAGAUGAAAAGAACUUUGAAAAGAGAGUUAAACAGUACGUGAAAUUGUCAAAAGGGAAGCGUUUGACACCAGUGUUGUUUUUCUGAAAAUCAAUUAAAGAACUGUUUAUGCUAAGCUGUUUAGACUUUAUCAGCUAUCUGUUUAGUUUUGAGCUUUUCUUUAAUGCACUUUUCAGUUAACAAGUCAACAUCAAUUUCUUUUGCUGUAAAAAAGCUUGAGGAAGGUGGCUUGAGAUCUGUCUUAAGUGUUUAUAGCCUCUUGCCUAUGCAGUCGGAGAGAUUGAGGUCUGCAGCGUAGAUCCUUCGGGGCUAAAUGCAUUUGUGCUAAGUUAUAGCAUUUUAUAGACAACUUGUUGACUAUGAUUUGUCUUGUAGCUUACUCGCUUAUGUUAUUUUACCUACGCUUAGGAUGUUGAUGUGAUACUGCGAGCA
rnacentral:rRNA from 1 species